GCACAAGGUAGAGGCCAACAACCCCCACCCAAGAAAACGGGCACCUAAUGGGGCCGGGGGAGAGCAGCCAGUGGUGCGACCGGCUACCGUGUAU
rnacentral:ncRNA from 1 species